CACUCCUGCGGGAGGCAGCAGUAGGGAAUCUUCCACAAUGGGUGCAAACCUGAUGGAGCAAUGCCGCGUGAGUGAAGAAGGUCUUCGGAUCGUAAAGCUCUGUUGUUAGAGAAGAACACGUGCUAGGUAACUACUAGCGCCUUGACGGUAUCUAACCAGAAAGUCACGGCUAACUACGUGCCAGCAGCCGCGGUAAUACGUAGGUGACAAGCGUUGUCCGGAUUUAUUGGGCGUAAAGGGAGCGCAGGCGGUCUGUUUAGUCUAAUGUGAAAGCCCACGGCUUAACCGUGGAACGGCAUUGGAAACUGACAGACUUGAAUGUAGAAGAGGAAAAUGGAAUUCCAAGUGUAGCGGUGGAAUGCGUAGAUAUUUGGAGGAACACCAGUGGCGAAGGCGAUUUUCUGGUCUAACAUUGACGCUGAGGCUCGAAAGCGUGGGGAGCGAACAGGAUUAGAAACCCGGGUAGUCCCAUG
rnacentral:rRNA from 1 species